GGCAGCGGCUCAACGGCCCCCUCCUCCACCCACAGCCCACACGGGGAGCUGGUGCGAGCAGCAGCUGUGUGCCUGUGACAAGGAGGUGGCCUUCUGCCUGAAGAGCAACCUCGACUCCUACAACAAGCUCCUGCGUUUCUACUGGCGGUCCCGCUGCCAGGACCCCACUCCUUCAUGCUAGAAGCCCAACUCGCUUCCCCUGCCAUCCUUCCCCAUCUCAGGGCAUUGCCGUGGUCCCGCCCUGGCAUCUAACCAGCUGGAUUUUAAAACAGUCCAGGGGGAAGGGCCCCUCGCCCUUGCUGGGCCCGACCUCUGGACUCUCCCACCCAAGGCAGUGCCGGCUCCCCUGAGGGUGGGCGGAGGCCAGGGAGCACCCAGGACCAUGAGGUUGGGCCAAAGCAGUCAGGGGAGGGGUGCUGGGGGGUCGAGGCAGCUGUGUGGGCCUGGCUCCCUGCCACUGCCACCCCUGCUGGUCCCUCUCACCUACCCCAAGCCACAGCCUGAGUGGCUGCUGUAAAGCGCAAUGUUGAUCAUCCUGUCCGAGUGACUCUUGAAACCCCCAGGUCCUCCACGGCCCCAGCAUAGAGCCCCUCAGAGCCCGGCCGUCAGGCCCCAUGUCCCUCUUCCCAACUGGGCCCCAGAGAGUCCAGCCCCUCUCCCCAAGCUGCACCCCAGAGCAGCCUCAGAACAGAGCAGGCCUCCACAAACUCUGAGGACAGGGUGGGAGGAGGCCAUGAUGGGAGGAGGCCGCGGCUCUUGUAGCCCCAGGCUCCCUCCUGGAAGCCUGCUGCUUCCUGCCUCUGGCACUUGCUCAGGGUCCUCCUGCAGAAAUGGCCCUGUGGCCCCCUCCUCCUGGAUGGCCUCCCUGGGCCUCUCAGGGAGAAAGGGCUGCUUCCUAGGAGAGUCUUCCUGGCUCAUCUCUCCUCCCUCCAGGGCUCACGGGCACCUCCUGGCUCCCCUGGCCCUGGCUGGGGCUUCCCAUGAGGGGUGAAUGGGACUCCUCCCCGUCCCCAGCCAGACAGGCGCACCUCAAGGACACAGACCACGUCCGCCUCAUCUGUGUUUCCUCGGCUUCCCACGGGCUCCGUGCUCAGUUACUGUUGGGGAUCAGAUGAGCUAAUCAUGAACACUCUGGAGAGGGGCUGGAGAGGAUGUUGGUGUCCCAUCCAGAUCCCUCCCGGACUCAGGACUCCACUCCCAACCAAGCCAGGUAUUGGCUGCAAAGCCCCCACAUCUGCCCUCCUUCUCUUCUUUUCUGGGAGUUUCCUGGCCCUGCACCCCCCCACCCCACACACACCCAAGGAGGCCACCUGUGACUGACCAAAGUUCAACACCCUGGAGGGCACAGCUGCCUGGCCCCCCUGCCUCCAUGCAGGACCAUCUGGGUCAGUGCCCAGAGUUCCUCGGGGGAUCAGGGUGGUAGGAAGCCCCAGAGACUUCUGGAACCACCUCUCCUCCCUGCCUCUUCUGCUGGCCUGGCCUGUUCUCCUGGUUCUCUGCAGCUUUCUCCAGAGACAGCCCUCGGUGAGAAACUUACACAGGAUCCUCAUCUGGGCUCUGCUUCUGGGGAAACACACAUUUAGGCAGAUGGCUUUUUCUUAUAAGGAUCCACAAUCCGUCCUUCGUAUAUGAUGAGCUGUGUGUCCAGCCACGGGGCCAGCUGAGGCACCUGGGGCUCCCCACACUGUGGCCUGUGUCACACACUCGGGCAAUGACCUAUGGUACAGGUUUCCCGAAACUCAGUAGGUCGAGCGAGGCAGUGUGAGAGGAAUUAAAAACUAUAGGCUCUGGGUCCAAAUUAUCAUUCUACGCCCACUCCUGUGAGGGACAGUGAUGGUAGAGGGGACAGGAGGUUGCUAAAUCUCCAUUCUUUCCCACCCAAAUUUGCUGUGAACCCCCCCAAAAAAUCUAUUUUAAAACAUUCCAGUGCUGUCUCUGACUAUCCAUGUGC
rnacentral:lncRNA from 1 species